UACGAAGGGGGCGAGCGUUGUUCGGAUUUACUGGGCGUAAAGGGCGCGCAGGCGGUCAUUUUUGUCGAGUGUGAAAGCCCCGGGCUCAACCUGGGAACUGCAUUUGAAACUGGCGGGCUUGAGUAUGGCAGAGGGGGGUGGAAUUCCGCGUGUAGCAGUGAAAUGCGUAGAGAUCGGGAGGAACACCGGUGGCGAAGGCGGGUCUCUGGGCAAUUCCUGACGCUGAGGCGCGAAAGCGUGGGGAGCAAACGGG
rnacentral:rRNA from 1 species